UGCUUAAGAGAGAAAGGGGGCUGAUUUGCAUGAGCAAUGCUGGUGCCAUAGAACCCGGGUGUGUGUUGUAACUACAAACAACUUUUUAGUAUAUUACUGUGGUAUAUAAUAUAAAAUAUGUUUUUAAGAGACUUGUCAGGAAAUAGUCUGGCCCUGCUCCCUCCACUGCUGGCCUAGUCAGUGGAGUGGUAGUGUGGUUUAGUUGGAAUGGGCGUGGCUCUUGUUCUGUCUCUCUGGCCUUGUUCACAUAAAGCAUGAGACCAUGAUUUAUUAAACUAUGGACUAGUGUUAUGUACCAGCCCUGCUCAGCAAUUUAAGUAUGUUUGUUUACUAUUAGCAAAGCACAAUCUGCAACCAUGGUUUGCUUUAAUUAUGGCUGGGUUAGGUGCAAGCCCAUGGUUUGUUUGUCUACCCCACCCCAGACACUCAAUCAAGCUCCAAAGGCUUGAGGGAAGAGCAGCCAGAAAACAAAUCAUGCUUUGGAGAAACAAGUCAUGGUUUGAUUGCCUAUGAGACAGCUCAUGGUUAACUUGUGGGUUUGUUUAGACAAACCAUGGCUUAUGUGUUAUGUGUGAAGCCCGCCUUAGGAUGAGCUGCUUUCUCAAAAUUAAGGACAACUUGUAGUUUACACAUGAAUUGUUAAAUAAACCAUGGCCCGGGGAUAUUUGCAAACCAGGCUUAUGUAUAUGUUGGAAUAAGUGGAAGAUUGCAUGAGUUGCUAUGCUUGGCUAAUAAUCCUGAGAUGGAUGCAGCUGUUCAACUUACAAUCGGAUACUGCCAAAAUCUGACAACGGUGUCCUACUGCAUAGGACAAACAGAACAGUUUCUAAAAAAAAGGGGGGGAGAGAGAGACACAUAUCUGGUAAUACAGAGAUGCCAGUGGAGGAAACAUUUCAGUCUCCCAGUCCACUAUGACCUUUAGAUGUCCAUCCUUGAAGAAAGUAAUUUCAUAGGGCAUCCGCACUGUGAAACCCUUGAAUUACGAUACACCAGGCAAUUCAGUGCUAUAACAUGUGGACCAAUUUUUAGCACACUACAUGCAUUAAUUGGCUUACCAACUACUGUUGGUUGGUGAAUGUUAAUGAGGUAAUGGUCACUGCCUGUACUAUUCUGCAUUUCCUUUCUUUCUAAACUCACUGUUUACAAUGUCCCCUCCCUCCCAUGUAUAUCUGUAGCUGCAACUCAGAAUAACACUUCAUGCAACUGAUGAAGUAGACUGUGCUAGUCUUUAAAGUGCCACAAGAAGUUUUCUAGGAAGCUCUAGCUCAUAUAUUUUAUCUUAUUUCAGAUAUAGAAUCGGUUGUGGAAUUAGAUUUUCCAUUGGACCAGAUUUUUAGCUGAAAUGCUUCUGGGUAUUACUUGGAACUGUGAUGUGUUUUUAGGCAAUGACUGGGCAUCUGGAAGAGAGCCCUGAAGACAAGGAGGUGUGUCCCGAGGCCUUUACAAAGCUAGUCAUCCACUGAGGGGCGUAAUUCAGGAGCUUCUCAAUCAGAUCCACGUGGGCAAGCAGCAUUCGCCGACAGCAAUAUCUCUUCAGACCCAGAGCAUCCAAAGCAUCACUAAGAACAAACAAAAAGCAGAUCCAUAAAUUCCAAUUCUGUAUUUGCAAUGGAAAAUCAAUUGCUAGCAGAACGGCUAUGAUUAACUACAACCAGAAACAAUGCUGCAAAGGUAAGAAAAAUGGUGGAUACAGCAACAACAAAGAAUUAUAUACGAGACUUCUCUAGAGACUAGCUAUUCAAGAAAGCAAGCUUUUCUUCAUCCUUUCCUUCUAUAUGUUUUUGAUUUUAUAUUAUCUAGAUGUUUAAUUCCUAUUUGGAAAAUAGUGUUACACAGGUCUCAGAAGCUGAAUUAUGUAGCACCCAUAAGUGAAGCAUGUACUAGCAUUUUUCUUAAAACACAUUUUUCUUAAAACAAUGUUAAUAGGUAGAAAUCUGCCACAGCACUUGAUACUUUGUGAUUUUAAAAAAAUCAAGCAAGUGUUUCUUAUGUUUUUCUAUAUAAUUCAUGAAUUUGAAACUACCAUGUUGAAAAGAAAAGGCUCUGAAUGAGCUGGAACCACUGUUCAGAUGACAUAUUACAUGUGUUAUACUCUAUUUUUAGCAGCAUCAGCGACAGAGUAGAAAUAAAGAAGCUUCUUCGUUCUAGUACACAAAACAUCUUUUCAUAUCAUCAAAUUUAAACCAAGUGUUCAUAUCAUGCAGCUCACAGAAACCUGUGCACCUUUUAAGAGCUAAUUGGUAUUCUAAAAAAUCAGAUACUAUUUAAAAUGCCCCCAAAUAGAAUUUCAGUUCCUUUUAAAAGUGUCUAACUCAUGUAACCACAGGGGGGAAAGAAGCGUGACAGCAGAAAGUUUAGGUACUAAGAUUAGCUUUUAAUUUAUUAUAGGAUCUUAGAUGUUUUAAGUUCUCAAGAGUUCUGAGGACUUAGCAAGGCAAUGGGGCCUGCCAUUUCAUACUACUCAAGAGAAACAGAAUUGUUUUCUGAAAAAUGGAACCAUGGCUACAAUCCUAUAUGUACCUGGGAAUAAGCCUAUGGAACUAUGGAAGCAAGGAUAGGACCAUACUGUUAACAGAAAUGCAAGAGAGUUAUGUUUGUGGGAAACAUUACAAUGAAAUACAAAAGAUGGGCAACAGUAUCUUCUGUUCAUUUAUUUGUUUGCCAUGUCAGAUGGUAAUGCUUAAUCAGAGCACUAGAGGAUGCUUGAAUAUAAAUGUUGAAAGAGUGUCAGUUCUUGCAGCUCUACCUGUGUGGGAGAGAUUGAAAUGCUCCAAAUGUGUUUGACAUUCACUUCUCACUUUGUCAGUAAGUUUUAUAUGUGGGAAAGUGCUUUCACUUAAAGUUCAGCAAUGUAAGACUGAGGUCAACCAAAUGAUUAUUUCUAAAUCAUCCUAAGAACUUUCACUUGAAUUUCAUAGUUAGACAAAGGAAAUUCAAGUUUAUACAAUCCAACUUAAAUAUGCAAAUCAAGCACGUUUAUGGAAGUUUUUCCAAAGUUUUCAUAAUUCAUUUCAAGUGUAGCAAGGGAAUCGUUUAAUCAGAGUACAACCUUCUACAUUGAGCCAUAUAUGAGAAAAAGCAAAGCAAAGCAAAUGAUGGUUUAAAAUGUCUCCAAUGUAAGCUCCUCAGUAGCUACAUUUUCCCCAUGGAGCUCUCAAAAGCCCCCUCAAAAAAUCAGGCAAUCUCAAUUAUUUGCAGUACCUUGCUUAGGCUGUAAUUCUAAGUCCACUACCCUUGGAGCAAACCCCACUGAAUUCAUUGGACUAAGUUUUGAGUAGACAUGACUAAGAUUGCACUCUAAAAUAUCCCGGUGUUUAUGCUUUCAUUAUUAAUAUGGUUCUAUACUGAUGUAAUUAUUAUUUAUAAAAAUUGGACCUACACUUCAUAAAACAUGAGCACAGGAUAAAGAGUGCUUGCUAUACAUACCUUUUUGUGAAUGAUCCCUAGACUGCUACAAAAUGUUAAUGGAUACUUUUCUCAAAACAGUUCUAAAAACACAACUGUGUGAAGCAGAGUGCUUACCCUUCUG